rnacentral:rRNA from 1 species
UACGGAGGGUGCGAGCGUUGUUCGGAAUUAUUGGGCGUAAAGAGCGUGUAGGCGGUCUCAUAAGUCAGAUGUGAAAUACCUUGGCUCAACCGAGGAAGGGCAUCUGAAACUAUUAGACUUGAGUACUGGAGAGGAGAGUAGAAUUCCCAGUGUAGAGGUGAAAUUCGUAGAUAUUGGGAGGAACACCGGUGGCGAAGGCGGCUCUCUGGACUGAAACUGACGCUGAGACGCGAAAGCGUGGGGAG